rnacentral:rRNA from 2 species
UAUCGGAUCCAGACUUUGAUUAUGGCUCAGGACGAACGCUGGCGGCGUGCCUAAUACAUGCAAGUCGAACGAGCUCUCCCAAAUUGAUUUUAUGCUUGCAUAAAUGAUUUUUGGAUUCGGAGCGAGUGGCGAACUGGUGAGUAACACGUGGGUAACCUGCCCCGAAGCGGGGGAUAACAUUUGGAAACAAAUGCUAAUACCGCAUAAUUAGUUGGAACCGCAUGGUUCCAACUUGAAAGAUGGCUCUGCUAUCACUUUGGGAUGGACCCGCGCCGUAUUAGUUAGUUGGUGAGAUAAAAGCCCACCAAGACGAUGAUACGUAGCCGACCUGAGAGGGUAAUCGGCCACAUUGGGACUGAGACACGGCCCAGACUCCUACGGGAGGCAGCAGUAGGGAAUCUUCCACAAUGGACGAAAGUCUGAUGGAGCAACGCCGCGUGAGUGAUGAAGGUUUUCGGAUCGUAAAACUCUGUUGUUAAAGAAGAACAAGUGUUAGAGUAACUGUUAACACUUUGACGGUAUUUAACCAGAAAGCCACGGCUAACUACGUGCCAGCAGCCGCGGUAAUACGUAGGGGGCAAGCGUUGUCCGGAUUUAUUGGGCGUAAAGCGAGCGCAGGCGGUUUUGUAAGUCUGCUGUGAAAGCCCUCAGCUCAACUGAGGAAGUGCAGUGGAAACUACAAAACUUGAGUACAGAAGAGGAAAGUGGAACUCCAUGUGUAGCGGUGAAAUGCGUAGAUAUAUGGAAGAACACCAGUGGCGAAGGCGGCUUUCUGGUCUGUUACUGACGCUGAGGCUCGAAAGCAUGGGUAGCGAACAGGAUUAGAUACCCUGGUAGUCCAUGCCGUAAACGAUGAAUACUAGGUGUUGGAGGGUUUCCGCCCUUCAGUGCCGCAGCUAACGCAUUAAGUAUUCCGCCUGGGGAGUACGACCGCAAGGUUGAAACUCAAAGGAAUUGACGGGGGCCCGCACAAGUGGUGGAGCAUGUGUUUAAUUCGAUGCUACGCGGAGACCUACAGCUCUUGACAUCUUCUGCCAACCCAAGAGAUUGGGCGUUCCCUUCGGGGACAGAAUGACAGGUGGUGCAUGUUGGCGUCAGCUCGGUCGUGGAUGUUGGUUAGUCCCGCAACGAGCGCAACCCUUAUUAUUAGUUGCCAGCAUUUAGUUGGGCACUCUAGUGAGACUGCCGGUGAUAAACCGGAGGAAGGUGGGGACGACGUCAAAUCAUCAUGCCCCUUAUGAGCUGGGCUACACACGUGCUACAAUGGAUGGUACAACGAGUCGCAAAACCGCGAGGUCAAGCUAAUCUCUUAAAGCCAUUCUCAGUUCGGAUUGCAGGCUGCAACUCGCCUGCAUGAAGUUGGAAUCACUAGUAA